GCAAGACCCCUCUUCUGGAAUGGGGCCUUAUGAUGUACUUUCAGAAGAAUUUUUUUAUGACCAUGCUUGAGAGGAGAAAGAUGGGAGAAGGUCAGAGGAGUGACCGCCAAAGAAGAAUGAGGAUGAGAAGGGAAAAUAAAGACUCUCUUACUCUGGAGGUGCAGAGUUUUCUUCAAGACAUUAGGUGUAAGGCUAUGGACAGAAUAACUAUAAACCACCGUCUCAUGCGCAUCCUUGUCUAUGAAAUGGGGUUCAUAACGCCACCUUCGUGAGGAUAAAAUGAGGUUCAUAUUAAUAAGGAGAAGGUCUCCCCGCAGCUCCUCUGGACCGAGCCACACCUCUGCCUGGGAAUCCUGGGCUGGGGCUGCAGAAGCCCGCUGCGCGCCUCCUGGUUUCUAUGGAGACCCUGCUUGAUGUCAAUGGCGGCUCCGGAGCGCAGGGAAACCUAAGCGUUUGUAUUUAAAUGAGGGAAAGUGGGGGAAGGGGAAGUAAAAGAGGAAGGGAACAGAAGAGAGGAUGGUAGAGGUGAGCGGGCGGGUGUUGAACUCUGGGGACUAGAAAAAUCCAGCUGCGUUACUCAGUCAUCUCAUGCUCGCGGAGAAAUCAGAGGAAGCAGCAGCGGGCAGAGGGGUGUUUAUUUCUUGCGUGAGAAAUAUCCGACUUCUUUCUGACAUCCGGGAGUAAGGGACAGGCAACUAGGAAUCCCUUUUCAUGUGGCUGGCCCCUGGCUGAUAGUGCUGCUCGAUUUCAUUUCCAAGAAGAAAGGGAGAGUUCUCUCUUUGCCCAGAGACUCAAGUCUUAAAGAUUCAUUGCUGCUAUGGGAGGGGCCACGCCUCUAUCUUUCACUCUCGACCCUUUCCCCUGCAGCAUAACUAAAUAGAAGCUCUGGAAAGACGGAUUCGAAAAGUUCUGGGGUCUGGAUUAACUGCUGUUUAUUGGCUGACACCCUAGCAAGAGGCUGGGGGAGGAGUAGGAGGAGGUUGGGCAGAAUGUAUGCUAUGAUUGAAUUGCAC
rnacentral:lncRNA from 1 species